UGACUUCAGGUGAUCCGGCCACCUCAGCCUCCCAUCAUGCUGGGAUUACAGGCGUGAGCCAUGGCACCCUGAAGAUUUGCACAAAAUAGGCUUGUUCUAAUACUGGUUUAGAGUUCAAAUUUACAAUUAUUCACCUGGGAAACAAUAGGCUGAGAAGUUAAUGGAAAUAUAGUACCUAGCCACUGAUAACUCCUGCAGAAACCUAGCAGAAGAAAACAAAUUGAUCUGGAAGGAACUAUCUUCAACCUAGAUAGGUGGCAUAAGAUUCCCUAAAAUAAGGUCAGUAGUCCAUUUGGGCUGCUAUAACAAAAUACCAUAACUGCAUAAUUUAUAAAUAACAAGUUUAUUUUGUCACAGUUCUGGAGGCUGGGAAGUUCAAGAUCAAGGCUCCGCUAGGCUCAGUGUUUGACAAGGGCUGCUCUCUGCUUCCAAAAUGGAGCCUUGUUGCUGUGUUCUCACAUGGCACAAGGCCAUAAGGCAAAAGCUAGUAGCUUCCAGCCCUUUUACAAGGCACUAAUAUAUUCAUGAGGGCAAGGCCCUCAUGACUCAAUCACCUCCCAAAGCCACAGCUCAAUACUGCUGCAUUAGGGAUUUAGUUUCAACAUGAAUUCUGUAAGAUACAAACAUUUCAAACAUAGCAGGCCCUAUAGGAGUUGAACUCAUACUCUAAAAUAUAAAACUCCUUGAAGGGCUGGGCACAGCAGUUCACACCUGUAAUCCCAACACUUUGGGAGGCUGAGGUGGGUGGAUCACUUGAGCAAGGAGUUCCAGACUAGCCUCCAUAACAUGGUGAAAUCCCAUCUCUACUAGAAAUACAAAAAAUUAGCUGGAUGUGGUGGCAUACACCUGUAGUCCCAGCUACUCUGGGGGCUGAGGUGGGAGGAUCACCUGAGCCCAGGAAGUCAAGGCUGCAGUGAACAAUGAUAGUGCCACUGCACUCCAGCCUGGGCGACAGGAGAGCCUGUCCAACACCCACCCACAAAAAAAUCUAAUAACUGUAGUAUUAAACUUCAAAACUUCAGAUGGCUGGUAAGAUUGCAGUGGUAUUUAUAACUCAUUGGUCACAACUAGUUACAGAUUUCUUUGUUCCUUCUCCAUUCCCACUGCUUCACUUGACUAGCCAAAAAAAACCAAAACAAAAUGAAAUCUUCAAAUAAUAAACUACAAAAUAAGUAUGGUGUAUUUUAAGUGAUUAAAGAAAUUAUGUAUCUUUGCUCCACACAUUUCAACAACUAGUUCUGAUAAAUUUAUAGGAUUGGGGGAAGCAAAGGCUAACUUUUACUGCAUAUGUGCCAAGCAUUGGAUGUAAAACCCCUGUUAGGAACCUCCAAAAAGAUUAGAUUUGAAAGAAAGAAUCAGGAACAGAAAGCAUCAUCGGCCCAAAAAGCAUCACUGGCCCAGUGCAGUGGCUCACACCUGUUAAUCCCAGCACUCUGGAAGGCUUAGGUGGGAGGAUCGGUUGAGCCUAGGAGUUUGAGACCAGCCUGGGCAACAUGGCGAGACCCCAUCUCUACAAAAAAUAAAGAAAUUAUCUAGCU
rnacentral:lncRNA from 1 species